CCUACGGGAGGCAGCAGUGGGGAAUUUUGGACAAUGGGCGAAAGCCUGAUCCAGCAAUGCCGCGUGAGUGAAGAAGGCCUUCGGGUUGUAAAGCUCUUUUGUCAGGGAAGAAACGGUGAGGGCUAAUAUCCCUUGCUAAUGACGGUACCUGAAGAAUAAGCACCGGCUAACUACGUGCCAGCAGCCGCGGUAAUACGUAGGGUGCAAGCGUUAAUCGGAAUUACUGGGCGUAAAGCGUGCGCAGGCGGUUUUGUAAGUCUGUCGUGAAAUCCCCGGGCUCAACCUGGGAAUUGCGAUGGAGACUGCAAGGCUAGAAUCUGGCAGAGGGGGGUAGAAUUCCACGUGUAGCAGUGAAAUGCGUAGAGAUGUGGAGGAACACCGAUGGCGAAGGCAGCCCCCUGGGUCAAGAUUGACGCUCAUGCACGAAAGCGUGGGGAGCAAACAGGAUUAGAUACCCUGGUAGUCCACGCCCUAAACGAUGUCUACUAGUUGUCGGGUUUUAAUUAACUUGGUAACGCAGCUAACGCGUGAAGUAGACCGCCUGGGGAGUACGGUCGCAAGAUUAAAACNCAAAUGAAAUUGACGG
rnacentral:rRNA from 1 species